GAUGAAGAACGCAGCGAGAUGCGAUAAGUAGUGUGAAUUGCAGAAUUCAGUGAAUCAUCGAAUCUUUGAACGCACAUUGCGCCCCUUGGUAUUCCAUGGGGCAUGCCUGUUCGAGCGUCAUUUGUACCUUCAAGCUCUGCUUGGUGUUGGGUGUUUGUCUCGCCUCUGCGUGUAGACUCGCCUCAAAACAAUUGGCAGCCGGCGUAUUGAUUUCGGAGCGCAGUACAUCUCGCGCUUUGCACUCAUAACGACGACGUCCAAAAGUACAUUUUUACACUCUUGACCUCGGAUCAGGUAGGGAUACCCGCUGAACUUAAGCAUAUCAAUAAGCGGAGGA
rnacentral:misc_RNA from 1 species